AUACUUACCUGGCAGGGGAGAUACCAUGAUCAUGAAGGUGGUUUUCCCAGGGAGAGAGACUUAUCCAUUGCACUCUGGAUGUGCUGACCCCUGCGAUUUCCCCAAAUGCGAGAAACUCAACUGCAUAAUUUGUGGCAGUGAGGGACUGCGUUCAAGUUAUCCCCUA
rnacentral:snRNA from 1 species